rnacentral:rRNA from 1 species
AGAGUUUGAUCCUGGCUCAGGAUGAACGCUAGCUACAGGCUUAACACAUGCAAGUCGAGGGGCAUCAGGAAGAAAGCUUGCUUUCUUUGCUGGCGACCGGCGCACGGGUGAGUAACACGUAUCCAACCUGCCCUUUACUCGGGGAUAGCCUUUCGAAAGAAAGAUUAAUACCCGAUAGCAUAAUGAUUCCGCAUGGUUUCAUUAUUAAAGGAUUCCGGUAAAGGAUGGGGAUGCGUUCCAUUAGGUUGUUGGUGAGGUAACGGCUCACCAAGCCUUCGAUGGAUAGGGGUUCUGAGAGGAAGGUCCCCCACAUUGGAACUGAGACACGGUCCAAACUCCUACGGGAGGCAGCAGUGAGGAAUAUUGGUCAAUGGGCGCUAGCCUGAACCAGCCAAGUAGCGUGAAGGAUGAAGGCUCUAUGGGUCGUAAACUUCUUUUAUAUAAGAAUAAAGUGCAGUAUGUAUACUGUUUUGUAUGUAUUAUAUGAAUAAGGAUCGGCUAACUCCGUGCCAGCAGCCGCGGUAAUACGGAGGAUCCAAGCGUUAUCCGGAUUUAUUGGGUUUAAAGGGAGCGUAGGUGGACUGGUAAGUCAGUUGUGAAAGUUUGCGGCUCAACCGUAAAAUUGCAGUUGAUACUGUCAGUCUUGAGUACAGUAGAGGUGGGCGGAAUUCGUGGUGUAGCGGUGAAAUGCUUAGAUAUCACGAAGAACUCCGAUUGCGAAGGCAGCUCACUGGACUGCAACUGACACUGAUGCUCGAAAGUGUGGGUAUCAAACAGGAUUAGAUACCCUGGUAGUCCACACAGUAAACGAUGAAUACUCGCUG